rnacentral:rRNA from 1 species
UUCGUAGGCGGUUGCAUAAGUCUGAUGUGAAAUCUCUGGGCUCAACCCAGAAACUGCAUUAGAUACUGUGCGACUUGAGUACUGGAGAGGUAAGCGGAAUUCCUGGUGUAGCGGUGGAAUGCGUAGAUAUCAGGAGGAACACCGAUGGCGAAGGCAGCUUACUGGAUAGUUACUGACGCUGAUGAACGAAAGCUAGGGGAGCGAACAGGAUUAGAUACCCUGGUAGUCC